UUUGACCAGGGGAUAGGGUCCCUUUUGACCAGGGGAUAGGGAGCCUUUUGACCAGGGGAUAGGGAGCCUUUUGACCAGGGGAUAGGGAGCCUUUUGACCAGGGGAUAGGGAGCCUUUUGACCAGGGGAUAGGGAGCCUUUUGACCAGGGGAUAGGGAGCCUUUUGACCAGGGGAUAGGGAGCCUUUUGACCAGGGGAUAUGGAGCCUUUUGACCAGGGGAUAGGGAGCCUUUUGACCAGGGGAUAGGGAGCCUUUUGACCAGGGGAUAGGG